AAGUACAUUUAAGAAAUACACUGGUUUGGUCCAGAAAGGUGGGACCAAAGCAGGAGGAGAGGGGCGCUUCCAGGCUAUAGGUAAAUUUCAGGGUUAAAUAAAAUCCAUCUGAUGAGAAUUUAUGGUUUGUAGGACAUCACUCCCCAGACCCUUUAGAUAGGGAAUUUGGGUAAGAUAAAAAAAAAAAUCAGAGCUUAGUCUUCACUUGCAAGAGUGCCCCUGUGUUCCUCCACUCUCCAUCCCCAAGCUGGGCUGGGAUUUCUUGAGCCAGAUGAGUUGAAGAUGCUGCAAAGUUAAAAUGGCCUUGCCUUCCUGUGCAGUCAGAUGGAGCACCCCCUUCCCUCAUCUGGGCCUGCUACUGAACCAGUGAGCUGUGUGGCUUUGUGCAUGCUAUUUAGACACUCUGAGUUUUAAUUUCCUAAUUUCUAAUUGCCAGACAGGUUGGUUGGGAGGAACAGCUUAGAUUGACCUAUGAAAGCAUUUGUAGACUCGGAAGUGUUCUCAUGGCACUUUGGAUGAAAUCGUUCCUGCUGCUUCAAACUACUGUGUGAUGAGUUUCCAAAAAUCAUUGCCUGUGAUCUGCAGGCUCGUUGUAUGUCACAGAUCACCAGAUGUGCUUCCAUUCCAUGCUUGCUUCUGCAGUCCUGUUCUAAGCUCUGGCCUAAUAUUCUUCCCGCCCACGGAGCUCUUGCCACUGCCUCACCGCAGAGACUGGAACCCUGUCCUUUAACUCCCAGCUCAGAGUGUAGGGAAGUGUUUCUCAAAGUAUUCUCUGUGUUAUCUGCUUCCAAAUUGCCU
rnacentral:lncRNA from 1 species